rnacentral:rRNA from 1 species
UACGUAGGAGGCAAGCGUUGUCCGGAGUUACUGGGCGUAAAGCGCACGCAGGCGGUCCCAUUAGUCUGUAGGGACAGGGCACGGCUCAACCGUGUCAGGCUUACGGAAACUGUGGGACUUGAGGGCUUCAGAGGGAUGGGGAAUUCCGGGUGGAGUGGUGAAAUGCGUAGAGAUCCGGAAGAACACCAAAGGCGAAGGCACCAUCCUGGGGAGUCACUGACGCUCGGGUGCGGAAGCUAGGGGAGCGAACGGGG